UCAUUGCAACGUUGGUGUCUGACAGAAAAAAGUCGAAUUCUUAUAGAUGAAUUCUAGCAUUUCUUCAGUCAGAAAAAUAUAUCGAAGACUCUAAGUUUACCCUUUAAAUGUGUCACUUGUGGUUUUCUUAUACGGAAAAGAUACAGAACAAUCCACGGCUAAAGGAGAUCCUCAUCCAACAACCCGAGAAAGUCUAUCAUUUGGAUGAACGGAUACUCAUCCAAAACUUUCAAGAAUUGUGUUUUUUUUGCUUCUAUCUUCAAUGCCCUGUAUCGAACUGAAUUGCGAUUGUCAUUAAUUUGCCUUGCUAUGCCAUACCAAGCCAAGCUAUUUUAAGCAAACGGUUUAGUUGGACUCCAAUAAUAAAUGCUUUACAAAAAAGAAAUGCGAUUGAUAAACUAGAACACUCUCCAAUGUAUGUCUACCAAUUCCUAAAUACUUUCA